AACGUAGGUGGCGAGCGUUAUCCGGAUUCAUUGGGCGUAAAGAGCUUGUAGGCGGUUGGGUAAGUUGGACGUGAAAACUCCGGGCUUAACUUGGAGAGGCCGUUCAAUACUACCAGACUAGAGGAUGUCAGAGGGGAGUGGAAUUCCUGGUGUAGCAGUGAAAUGCGUAGAUAUCAGGAGGAACACCCGUGGCGAAGGCGGCUCCCUGGGACAUCCCUGACGCUGAGAAGCGAAAGCUAGGGGAG
rnacentral:rRNA from 1 species